rnacentral:rRNA from 1 species
AUUGAACGCUGGCGGCAGGCCUAACACAUGCAAGUCGAGCGGAGCGGCGGACGGGUGAGUAAUGCCUAGGAAUCUGCCUGGUAGUGGGGGAUAACGUCCGGAAACGGGCGCUAAUACCGCAUACUAUCAGAUGAGCCUAGGGCGGAUUAGCUAGUUGGUGGGUUAAAGGCCUACCAAGGCGACGAUCCGUAACUGAGCUGUUCGGAUGAUCAGUCACACUGGAACUGAGACACGGUCCAGACUCCUACGGUAGGCAGCAGUGGGGAAUAUUAGACAAUGGGCGAAAUCCUGGUCCAGCCAUGCCGCGUGUGUGAAGAAAGUCUUCGGAUUGUAAUGCUCUUUAAGUUGGGAAGCGUUACCAAAAGAAUAAGCACCGGCUAACUUCGUGCCAGCAGCCGCGGUAAUUC